UACGUAGGUGGCAAGCGUUGUCCGGAUUUACUGGGCGUAAAGGGCGUGCAGGCGGUUUGUUAAGUGCAGGGUGAAAGCUCCCGGCUCAACGUGGGAGAGGUCCUUGCAUACUGGCAAACUCGAGGGAGGCAGAGGAAAGUGGAAUUCCCGGUGUAGUGGUGAUAGUGCGUAGAUAUCGGGAGGAACACCCUGGUGGCGAAGGGCGGCUUUCGUGGGCCUUACCCGUG
rnacentral:rRNA from 1 species